GACGAACGCUGGCGGCGCGCCUAACACAUGCAAGUCGAACGGGGAUAUACGCUGAGAAGCCUUCGGGCGGAUCUUGUAUAUUCUAGUGGCGGACGGGUGAGUAACACGUGAGCAACCUGCCUUUCAGAGGGGGAUAACGUCUGGAAACGGACGCUAAUACCGCAUAACGUAUACCGGUGGCAUCAUCUGGUAUACCAAAGGAGUAAUCCGCUGAAAGAUGGGCUCGCGCCCGAUUAGGUAGUUGGUGGGGUAAGUGGCCUACCAAGCCGACGAUCGGUAGCCGGACUGAGAGGUUGAACGGCCACAUUGGGACUGAGACACGGCCCAGACUCCUACGGGAGGCAGCAGUGGGGGAUAUUGCACAAUGGGGAAACCCUGAUGCAGCGACGCCGCGUGAGCGAAGACGGUCUUCGGAUUGUAAAGCUCUGUCAACGGGGAGAAAUAAUGACGGUACCCGUGGAGGAAGCCACGGCUAACUACGUGCCAGCAGCCGCAGUAA
rnacentral:rRNA from 1 species